AAGUCAUUGAUUUGAGAAUUGAAUCAAACUUGCUCAUUUAGAGGAAGUAAAAGUCGUAACAAGGUCUCCGUAGGUGAACCUGCGGAGGGAUCAUUCACAUGAUUACCUUUUCAACAAACUGUGAACCUUUUAAUCUAUUCGUGUGUGUUGUUUGAUCUUCGGAUCAUUCUCAAUAUCACACUGUCAUUCGAUGAACAUUAGAUAGCUGGCUUGAUUUUCGAAUCUUUCUCAGCUGAUUGUUUUUGAAUUUAAUUACUCGAUACAAUCAACCAACAAACAUAGAAACAACUCUAUGCCCUGGAUAUCUUGGUUCUC
rnacentral:misc_RNA from 1 species